rnacentral:tRNA from 1 species
GCUUUCAUAGCUCAGUUGGUUAGAGCACCUGUUUCGUAAGUGGGAGGUAUUGAGUUUACCUCUCAAUUAAAGCA